rnacentral:rRNA from 1 species
AUUGAACGCUGGCGGCAUGCCUUACACAUGCAAGUCGAACGGUAACAGGUCUUCGGAUGCUGACGAGUGGCGAACGGGUGAGUAAUACAUCGGAACGUGCCUAGUAGUGGGGGAUAACUACUCGAAGGAGUGGCUAAUACCGCAUGAGAUCUACGGAUGAAAGCAGGGGAUCGCAAGACCUUGUGCUACUAGAGCGGCCGAUGGCAGAUUAGGUAGUUGGUGGGAUAAAAGCUUACCAAGCCGACGAUCUGAAGUUGGUCUGAGAGGACGAUCAGCCACACGGGGACUGGGACACGGCCCAGACUCCUACGGGAGGCAGCAGUGGGGAAUUUUGGACAAUGGGCGCAAGCCUGAUCCAGCAAUGCCGCGUGCAGGAUGAAGGCCUUCGGGUUGUAAACUGCUUUUGUACGGAACGAAAAGCCCUGGGUUAAUACCCUGGGGUCGUGACGGUACCGUAAGAAUAAGCACCGGCUAACUACGUGCCAGCCGCCGCAGUAA